ACUACGGGUGGCAGCAGUGAGGAAUAUUGGUCAAUGGGCGGAAGCCUGAACCAGCCAAGUAGCGUGCAGGAUGACGGCCCUACGGGUUGUAAACUGCUUUUAUACGGGAAUAACGCGCCUUACGUGUAGGGCUUUGCAUGUACCGUAUGAAUAAGGACCGGCUAAUUCCGUGCCAGCAGCCGCGGUAAUACGGAAGGUCCGGGCGUUAUCCGGAUUUAUUGGGUUUAAAGGGAGCGUAGGCCGCAUGUCAAGCGUGAUGUGAAAUGUCCGGGCUCAACCCGGGCCUUGCAGCGCGAACUGGCGUGCUUGAGUCCGCGGAAGGCAGGCGGAAUUCGUGGUGUAGCGGUGAAAUGCUUAGAUAUGACGAAGAACCCCGAUUGCGAAGGCAGCUUGCUGCAGCGGAACUGACGCUGAUGCUCGAAAGCGCGGGUAUCGAACAGGAUUAGAUACCCCGGUAGUC
rnacentral:rRNA from 1 species